GGUCUUGAGUGCCAAAGUUUUUGUGGACAAAGCUACUGGUGUUAGUAAAUGUUUUGGAUUUGUAAGUUACGACUCUCCAGACGCUGCACAAACCGCAAUCAAAAUGAUGAAUGGUUUCCAACUAGAUGGGAAAAAGUUGAAGGUUCAGCUUAAAAGAGAUAAUAAACAGAACAAAUUUAUUGAUAUAAAAGGCGGGGUAUGGAAGGAAGCUGAUUCUUUGCAUCAGUGAUACACACGCAAGCCACUACGGAGUUGUUGCAACAAGCAGCCACUGGGAGCUGAUUUGAAACAUUUAGCAGUGACAUGGCAACUGAAUGCUAAUUGUAGGUCUCUUAUGGAUUAAAGGCAGAAACUUGUAAUUGUUGUGCCACUGUAAUCUGCAAUUUGUACAUGGAGAAAGAUUCAGACAUUUGUAAAUUCAAUGAUUCUUCUAAAUUGACUCGAUCAUCAUUAGGUUAUGAUUUUUUGUUUCUUUUUCCUUCAUAUGGUCAAAUGUAGCGUCUUCCUCCUCCCACCUUUCCUCUUUUUCAAAAUGCAUAUAUGGAAGAAAAAAGUUGAAAGAUAUACCCCUGAGCACCCCGCAGCAUUCUGUUCCUUCUUCACCUCUAUGCUCGUUAAUUACUUUGUCUCAAGUUUGUCUUUGAAUAGCCUAUGAACUGAUGUUAUGAGGUCAGACAAAGUGGAAAGCAUAUUCAUUUAUGAUUUAACAACAUCUGUGAGGCAGCUGUUCGUUUCCCUUCUGAAACGCAGGGUUUUGGUUCAGGUUGCAAUCAGGUUUGGAAGGAUGGUCAGAUAAUUGCUAUCUUAUUAGAUUCAGCCACUAUAGCUGUUCGGAACCCACAAACCAUUCCGACGGUGGGUCAGACAUUCCCAGUCUAGUUGGUGAGGUGCCGUUUUCCGUGGUGAUUUGAAGAAACCAUUUGAUCUUGGUUUGAUAUAUUCUGUAGUGACAAUACAUUCUUGCUUACUCCUGGUUAAUUUCUAGGAUGGGCUAAUAACAGACUUAGAAUGCUUAUAUAAAUUCCUUCACAAAGUCUUGGGGUAUAUUUUUGAAAAGUUCUCCAUGGUGAUAGCUUGUGGCUUUCUACUUUGUGAUUAGCGUUGUCAGCUUCAAUUGCUAUUAGUACUAGUAGUUAUGUUCAAAGCUAUUAGUUUAAUACUAGCUAGUUGGAGCCAUAAAUUGGUGGAGGUUCUCAUUCCUAUGUGGAUGGUUAGGCCUGAUGUGGAAUUCUAUGCUAUGUUUCUGCAGUUUAUUGUUGAACUAGCAAUGGUUU